CUUUCAUACUCCUGUUGUUGCAUUUUUAAAAAACUGGCUCUUAGAUGUCCAGAAUUGUAUCCAUCAUAUUCUUGAGGUUCAUGACACAUCCUCACAAUUGGCUCAUAUACUGACUCAAAUAUUGUUGACUCAUAAAAAUUCAGGUUUUGCCUUCUCCUGAGAAACUGAAGGAUCCAGCAACACUGGGUCUGUUUCCCUGCAGGGAAACCAUUAGCAGCUGCUCAGAGUGCUGUCCCUCUUUAUACUGAUCUCUGUUGUCUCCUGACCAAGAGGCUUCAUGUCAGUUGAUGUACAUCAUUGGGCAUGAACUGUUACUUUUCUAAUAAAAUAGAGAUAGCUGUUUUAUUGCAUCUACACCAUCCAUUUACAUUACCUGCCUGGCAAGCGUCAUCUGAGUUUGAGAACUCUGCUCUGCUGGGCAACCCUUUUGACAUCCCUAAUAAUAGCUACCAUUCACUGAGCCCUUAUUAUAUGCGAGCACGAAACUAACAAUUUUUGACCCAUUAUCUCUUUGAUCUCUAUAAAGCUCUAUGAGGUAAGUCUGAGCUGUCAUCUCCAUUUUACAAGCAUGGAAACUGACCUCACAGAGGCAGGUAAUUUGUGCAAGAUUACAAAACUUCUAAGUGGUGACACUGAGAUUCAAACUUUGAAUUCAAACCUUGGAUUCAAAGCCUAAAUCCAAAGCUAUGGUUUAAACUUUUUUUAAAAAUUACGCUGCUUCCCAGCCAAUAAUCUUUUAAUAAUAGAAUUGCUGCUACCAUAUGGGGUUUCUCCCCCAUAUUCAGUCCCUGUGGUACUGAAUACCAGGAAGACCCUCUUCCUGGUAUUCAGUGCCAACCUGGUGCUGUUGCUUUGUUGGAGAGGGAGGCCAGGUCGUUCUGGGGUCACUGUGACUCUCAUAAAUUACUGAUCCUGGCACUGGGGUGUGUGUGUGUGUGUGUGU
rnacentral:lncRNA from 1 species